GACGAACGCUGGCGGCGUGCUUAACACAUGCAAGUCGAACGGAAAGGCCCUGCUUUUGUGGGGUGCUCGAGUGGCGAACGGGUGAGUAACACGUGAGUAACCUGCCCUUGACUUUGGGAUAACUUCAGGAAACUGGGGCUAAUACCGGAUAGGAGCUCCUGCUGCAUGGUGGGGGUUGGAAAGUUUCGGCGGUUGGGGAUGUACUCGCGGCUUAUCAGCUUGUUGGUGGGGUAGUGGCUUACCAAGGCUUUGACGGGUAGCCGGCCUGAGAGGGUGACCGGCGACAUUGGGACUGAGAGACGGACCAGAAUGCUACGGGAGGCAGCAGUGGGGAAUAUUGCACAAUGGGCGGAAGCCUGAUGCAGCAACGCCGCGUGCGGGAUGACGGCCUUCGGGUUGUAAACCGCUUUCGCCUGUGACGAAGCGUGAGUGACGGUAAUGGGUAAAGAAGCACCGGCUAACUACGUG
rnacentral:rRNA from 1 species